GUAUCGGUGGUUGAGUGGUAGAAUUCUCGCCUGCCACGCGGGAGGCCCGGGUUCAAGUCCCGGCCGAUGCA
rnacentral:tRNA from 1 species